rnacentral:rRNA from 1 species
UUCGAGUGGCGGACGGGUGAGUAACGCGUGGGUAACCUGCCUUACACAGGGGGAUAACACCUGGAAACAGGUGCUAAUACCGCAUAAGCGCACAGGGCCGCAUGGCCCGGUGUGAAAACUCCGGUGGUGUAAGAUGGACCCGCGUCUGAUUAGCUUGUUGGCGGGGUAGAGGCCCACCAAGGCGACGAUCAGUAGCCGGCCUGAGAGGGUGGACGGCCACAUUGGGACUGAGACACGGCCCAAACUCCUACGGAAGGCAGCAG